UACGGAGGGUGCAAGCGUUAUCCGGAUUCAUUGGGUUUAAAGGGUGCGUAGGCGGUCUAUUAAGUCAGUGGUGAAAGCCGAUAGCUUAACUAUCGAAUUGCCAUUGAUACUGGUAGACUUGAGUACAGAUGCUGUGGGCGGAAUAUGACAUGUAGUGGUGAAAUACAUAGAGAUGUCAUAGAACACCGAUUGCGAAGGCAGCUCACAAAACUGUAACUGACGCUGAGGCGCGAAAGCGUGGGGAGCAAACAGG
rnacentral:rRNA from 1 species